rnacentral:rRNA from 1 species
UACGUAGGGGGCAAGCGUUUGUCCGGAUUUAUUGGGCGUAAAGAGCGUGUAGGCGGUUAGGUAGGUCCGUUGUGAAAACUCGAGGCUCAACCUCGAGACGCCGAUGGAAACCAUCUAACUAGAGUCCGGAAGAGGAGAGUGGAAUUCCUGGUGUAGCGGUGAAAUGCGCAGAUAUCAGGAAGAACACCCGUGGCUAAGGCGGCUCUCUAGUACGGUACUGACGCUGAGACGCGAAAGCGUGGGGAGCGAACAGG